AAGGAUCAUUAUCGAGUUUUGACUGGGUUGUAGCUGGCCUUCCGAGGCACGUGCACGCCCUGCUCAUCCACUCUACACCUGUGCACUUACUGUGGGUUUACCGGUCGCGAAACGGGCUCGUUUAUUCGGGCUUGUGGAGCGCACUUGUUGCCUGCGUUUAUCACAAACUCCAUUAAAGUAUUAGAAUGUGUAUUGCGAUGUAACGCAUCUAUAUACAACUUUCAGCAACGGAUCUCUUGGCUCUCGCAUCGAUGAAGAACGCAGCGAAAUGCGAUAAGUAAUGUGAAUUGCAGAAUUCAGUGAAUCAUCGAAUCUUUGAACGCACCUUGCGCUCCUUGGUAUUCCGAGGAGCAUGCCUGUUUGAGUGUCAUGAAAUCUUCAACUUACAAGCUCUUUGCGGGGUUUGUAGGCUUGGACUUGGAGGCUUGUCGGCCUUUAACGGUCGGCUCCUCUUAAAUGCAUUAGCUUGAUUUCCUUGCGGAUCGGCUGUCGGUGUGAUAAUGUCUACUCCGCGACCGUGAAGCGUUUGGCAAGCUUCUAACCGUCUCGUUACAGAGACAGCUUUAUGACCUCUGACCUCAAAUCAGGUAGGACUACCCGCUGAACUUAA
rnacentral:rRNA from 1 species